rnacentral:rRNA from 1 species
CCUACGGGAGGCAGCAGUAAGGAAUAUUGGUCAAUGGGCGCAAGCCUGAACCAGCCAUGCCGCGUGCAGGAUGACGGCCCUCUGGGUUGUAAACUGCUUUUAUACGGGAAGAACAGCAUCUACGUGUAGGUGUUUGACGGUACUGUAAGAAUAAGGACCGGCUAACUUCGUGCCAGCAGCCGCGGUAAUACGAAGGGUCCAAGCGUUAUCCGGAUUUAUUGGGUUUAAAGGGUGCGUAGGCGGCUUUUUAAGUCAGUGGUGAAAGCCUGAUGCUCAACAUCAGAACUGCCAUUGAUACUGAAGAGCUUGAGUACAGUUGAGGUUGGCGGAAUGUGUCAUGUAGCGGUGAAAUGCUUAGAUAUGACACAGAACACCGAUUGCGAAGGCAGCUAGCUAAGCUGUUACUGACGCUGAUGCACGAAAGCGUGGGGAGCAAACAGGAUUAGAUACCCUGGUAGUCCACGCCCUAAACGUUGAUAACUCGUUGUUAGCGAUAUACUGUUAGCGACCAAGCGAAAGCAUUAAGUUAUCCACCUGGGAAGUACGGUCGCAAGAUUGAAACUUAAAGGAAUUGACGG